GCGUUUAUAUGUCUAUCGAUAUGCAAAGACAAAACAUAUGUUGUAAAAGCAUAUGGUGCGAAAAGUGAAGUGCAUUAAUUGCAAAAUUGCAACUGGAAACAGCUUACUACCAAGUACAAGAGAGUAUGUGCACUACAAGGCAGAGAUGUGUGUGAAAGCAAGCUAACUGCAAGUAUAUCAUCCAGUGGUACAAGAAGAAGUAGCUGAGAAGACUCCGCGUCCCAAACAUCGAGUAGUGCCGCUAGUUUAGUUAAGUGCGUUUGUGUUGAUAUUAGUCAGUGCACUGUAGUAUUUGUUUACUGCAUGUAUGUCUAUACAUGCAAAAUAAAACUUUAAUUGAAUAUAAA
rnacentral:sRNA from 1 species